rnacentral:rRNA from 1 species
UGGGGAAUUUUGGACAAUGGGCGCAAGCCUGAUCCAGCAAUGCCGCGUGCAGGAUGAAGGCCUUCGGGUUGUAAACUGCUUUUGUACGGAGCGAAAAGGUCUGCCCUAAUACGGUGGGCUCAUGACGGUACCGUAAGAAUAAGCACCGGCUAACUACGUGCCAGCAGCCGCGGUAACACGUAGGGUGCGAGCGUUAAUCGGAAUUACUGGGCGUAAAGCGUGCGCAGGCGGUUAUAUAAGACAGAUGUGAAAUCCCCGGGCUCAACCUGGGACCUGCAUUUGUGACUGUAUAGCUAGAGUACGGUAGAGGGGGAUGGAAUUCCACGUGUAGCAGUGAAAUGCGUAGAUAUGCGGAGGAACACCGAUGGCGAAGGCAAUCCCCUGGACCUGUACUGACGCUCAUGCACGAAAGCGUGGGGAGCAAACA